AUCAAAAUAUCACCGAAGCAAUAUCAUUGGGGUGCACGACAAGGUAUUCAGGACAAGAGAGCAAAGCGCAUGACAGCAACAUUCACGAAGAUGGAACAGUCCGAUCGCGAGGAAAACUAUCUAGUAAUACCAUCACCGCGUGGAAACGGCUGGAUAUACUAUCUCGAUCAUCGAUUGAAAAUGAUGCAGGAUGGAUUGGCGGCAUAUGCUCGGCGACGAUAUGCACGGCUAUCGUUGGACAAGUAGAUCGACUCACAGCAUGAAACCGAUUGGUUAGCAAAAUCAUUGACAAAGAAUAAGCCAUCGCUGUUUACCAUUGGAGACGCGGACUUGCCAGCCAAUUCACCAAUCGGUAAGAAGAAGAUCAAACGAUGCCCGGAAACACGACGUCUUGAAAAUAGCGUCAAAAAAAUACAUCAUUCAGAUGUCGUUAGAGUGGAUGAAACUUACACAUCGCAACACUGUGCCAGUUGCAUGGUGAAGUUCCCGAAAGAAACGAAAAAAUUCCGAUUCAAAGCAUGCAAAAAUUGUCCACGCAAUGCUCCAAUACCAUCGAAGAUUGCCAAAUACAUGUCGCUGCCGCCGCUAAUUGUGUCAAAAAAGGGCUCACGGCGCAAAACGUUGGACCGUUGUGUGAAAAAGUUGAUCGACAAAGGUCUGGUGAAUCAAGCAAAUCUGCCAAAAGAAUCCAAACCAGAGCGAUUAGCGUCACCCAAAAUGUACUAUUGGAAAACUGGCCGCUAAACUCUGUGAAUGCACUUCAAAUGGGAGACGAUGCUGCGAACACAAAUGAUCAUCAUCAACAACAACAACAAAAACAACCGGAACAAGAACAUGAAUAUCGAAAGCUGCGAUUUACCAUUGUUUGGCAUCGAGACAUUGUUGCGGCAAGGUGCAUAAUGUACAAAGCUCUGUGUUUCAUUUUCGAUUUAACAUUGAGAUGAGACCACCACAACCUCGAAGACCACCGUAUCGUGAAAAACCACCGGUACGCAGACAACCAAGAGGAAAUGCAAAUUUUGUUCCAGUCCAAGUAAACAAUAAUGAUCAACCAGCAUCAAUCAAUUGAAGAAAAGAAAACAUGUUAACUAAAAUAGUUAUUACCAAAGCUUGUAUUUUGUGGCUUUGAUUUAUACAUAAUAUCUGAGAUAUUAUGUAUAAAGUACCCCACGAACUGCAACACCGCAUUCGACCAUUAAUAUAUACCCGAUAAUGGAUGAAUUUAAUUGUUUAGUGGGUAUUCCCACGAUUCAAUAUGUUGUAAUACGUACGUAUUCUUGGAUCGAACCAUGACGUUGAACGAGUAUUGUGAUUGAUAAAAUAAAUCUCACCAGCAUUGGUAAUUGCCUGCUCCCAGCCCUCAGGUAGUGGACCCAAGCCGGUACUUGGUUGCUGCGGUUUUGGAGCAGCUUUAGUGGCACAACCGAAAA